AGGAUACGCAUUAGGACUGAGGA
rnacentral:siRNA from 1 species